UUAACUAUAAUUAUUUUCAAGAUUGUUUAAUACGUCAAAAUCAUGAAUUCAUGUUGUAUUAUUAAAUUAAGGAUUAUUUCACUCCAACACGUUUUAAACAAAAACUCACUUUCAAGGGACAUUUUCUAAUGUAUAAUAAAGAAGAAGAAGAAAAAAUUAACCAAGGGUUUCGUUUUCUACCCUUCUCGAAUAUUCUCCCACAGGGUCAUUAACAUUGAUGCAUCCUAUAAAGUAUAUAUGCUUAAGUGAAGGGGUGCCAAACCCAAAAUAAAUUCUCCCACGACCAAAAGUAGAUACUUGCAUAUCUUUUCCAUUAUACAUAUGCUUUUGCGAAUUUAAGAUGCAACAAUAGCAUCCCAAGAUUCCAAAGUUGAAAGAAGCAUGUGAAAAGCUAAGUUAAAGCAUCAAUAGAUUCUUGUUUAGGCCUUUUGGAGUUAUACAAGUAGCUUGAUGAAUUCCACUAAACUUUACCGUGGCUAAGUCCCCGAAGUAUCUAUAUCUAUCUUCCCAUGUGGUGUGUUUUAUAUUUCCAAAAGGAGUGAGCAUAAUAGGUACUAAUUGAGCAUGUCUUAAUCCACUAAAGCUCGUGAGAGAAAAUUAUGGGGGAAGUGGGCAUCUCCUUUUCAGCAUCCAAUCAACCAUAACAAGCUCAAAAUAAAACAGACGGUAAUAACUGAAGUCGCAAUAAAUGUCAUUUUGAUUUGAGAUUUAAUUAAAGGUUCUUUUGAAGGAGGAAAAAAGAUGGCCAAGUGAGUUCAGAGCAUAAACAAUUUUAUUUCUUUUAUUGUGGGUACAUCAACAUGACUUGUAUGGCUAUGUUGAGUGUAAGGGAGAUAUUUGCUCUUCUGAGAUGACGCGUCAAAUACAUGAACCACCAAAAGAUCAGUGAAGAGUUAUAUUUACUAAUUUCUCUUGGUAAAAUAGAAGAGUUAUAUUUUAUUUUAGAGGGUUACUAAUUUGGCUGGUGAUGCAUAUUCAAUGAUCAAUAAUAAUAAAUAAAUAAAAAGGAAAAUACGCCAAAGCAUCAUUAUCUUGUCUUAUGGAAUAAGCACCUUAAAUUGCUGUCAGCUU